CCACCCCUGCCCUCAGCCUCCUUCAAAGUGGCCGCUGGGGCUGGGGUCUGUCUUUGCAGAGGUGCCAGGCCACAUGCCCUGCCCACCUCUACCAGCUAUGCCGCCUCUGAAGUUCCUCCAGCGGCACUGAGGAGGGGCCCUGUGGUCGAGGGUGCAGUUAAACGAGGCCCGACCGGGUAGUUGAGCUCAGCUUGGCUGUACUUGUCUUCCUUGGACCUGCUGGGCACCCCCAGGAGGGCCAUGGUUAUAGACACAGGUUCGGAGUCAGCCCCAGCUUGAAUCCUGCUUCUGCCACCAGCCCUGUGACCUGAAGCAACCAUACCCGGAAGCCCCCGAGUUUUGAUCUGGCCCAGGUAGACCGAUCAUUUCCUCCAAGUCCCCCUUCCCUGAGGAGCUGGCGUGCUUCAGUCUCACAGAAUGGGCAACUGAGGUUGAGAGAAAGGAAAUAACUUGUCCCAGGCCAGCAGCUGAGUCACGACCAAGGCACUUCGUUCUUCAUCUAGUGCGGCCUGUGCAGCCAAAAUGCCUUCCCAUGAGCUUGCCACAUAACCAUGGGUGGCUCACUGGACUUUCAUCUGGGCAAAGAGAAGGGUGUGCUGACACUACUCAUGGCUCCUUCAUCUGGGACCUACCCAAAUCCCGUGGCUUUGCUCACAAUCAUCUGAUCCUGUUGUGCCCAAGAUGCCUGCUCCCAUGCCUGGAUACCUGCUGCAGCUGCUCCAAGCCAGGACCCUGCCAAUCUGUCAUUUUAGAUCUUCAGCUCUGGGUUGGUCUUCCAGGUGCCUCUGCCUCCCAAGGAAACCCAAGGAACUCCGCCAGAAAGGGAAUGCCUAAAAGAGCAGCAGUGGGGACUGUAGGGGUCCUCCUGCCUGCCCCUUUGUUAUCCAGAGUGGGGCCCUGACUUGCCUGAAGUCACACAGGGACUCCGGUAUUCCAAUCCUCGGCCUUAAGAUCGCUGCUAUCCGGUUACUUCUAUCUAAAAGCCCUAGAGAAGUUUCGGGAGACACUCAAAGGGCCCUUGUCUGGUUUCCAGGCUGACCAACUCUAAUGGAGAAAAAGCUCACUCACUAAGCAUACAUCAAAUGCCAGGCGUAUAGAAUCCUUCAGUGGAGGGAUCAUUCUCCCCAUUUUACAGAGGAAUAA
rnacentral:lncRNA from 1 species